rnacentral:miRNA from 1 species
UUGGAGCUGAGCUUGGCUGUCACCC